GUGAGUUUAGGUACCAGAGAUGCAAAUUUGCGAAAACUGUAAUGUAGAUACAGUUGUCCUGGAGAAAGACUCCACAAUAUAUAGGUUAUUUUGUAUAUUUCCUGGUUUCACUGAGCUAUCUGAAUCUCUUAAAAGCAUAUCAACCUUUAUUCCUCCACUAGAGUUUUAAUUUAUUUCUCCAUUUUCUUUGGAACACGGGAUAUCCUCUGCUUACUACUCAAUUCGUUCUUGUGAACAAUAUCCAGAUGAAAAGCUUGACAGCAUACAACUUUGGUGGGCUGGAAAAGAGCUUGCUAUGGAUAAGAAGCUAUCCGACCAUAUUUGUGUGAAUGACAAAACAAAGAUUGUCAUCAGGCUAAGCCUCCCAAUGAGCCCUUAGUGUGGUCCUGUAUUGCAUAGUAGUGAUUUUUUUGGCAAUUUAUGCAAAUUAUGCGCAUGUACGAUAUUUUUCAUUUUCAUGAGAAAUCAGGCAAGCAUCCUCUCAGCUGUAUGUACCAAUUGACUACCUGUAUCAACAGCUUAAAACCAUGAAUGUAUAAUUAUUUAGUGAUUCCAAUAGUACAAUAUUCAAGUUAUUUGUGGGCAUCAAGUUGUGACUGCGACACUGAGCAUGAUUCAACUCUGUAUAUGCAAUAAGACUAGCUGAGAGAGAAGAUCGCGUUUCCAGCUAAAUGAUCAUCACUUGUAUGAUUUUUUUUUCAAGCUGAGAGUAUGGAAUUAGAUGGUAAACUCAUAUCUGCAAAUUGCUUGCUAUUCAGAAUGGUGCCAUGAUUAGAUUUUGUCUGCGUCCAGAAAAAGUAGUACAACUUAUCUACCAUUGCAGCAGCUGCCUACAGGAGGGGGGAUCCCUGAACAUGCCUGCAUUAUUUAUCUUCAAUCUAGUUCAACUUUUGCUCUUGUAUUUAGCUUGCUUGUGCUCAUGUGCAUGUCUCUUGAGUUCCAUUGAACAAUCACGCUCUGAGCAGGAAAAAGUGAAGCAUUUUUGGGCAUCUAGGUUUCUUAUCAGUGAUAGACUAUGUACCAUAUCCCAGGAAUGUUGCAGGCAUCCUAAGCAGGUGCUUUUGAUCCCUUUCGUAGUUCAUGAUAGCAUAUUUGAGUGCAUUUUGCUUAAUAUUUGUUACAUGUGUUAUUGAAAAUAUGUGUGUUUUUGUCGAAGGGGAAACAUAACGUGUCUUACUCCCAUGGUUUAUUUAUUUCAAAAUAUCUAUGGUUCUGUGGAAUCAAUUCUGGAUCUGGAAACCAGAGAGUAUGUGCAUUGCUGCAAUCAUGGAGCUGUCCAUUGUGAAAUUGUACACGUGACAUAUGGCCGGUGCCUGUCUGAAUGCAACCAGAGGAGUCAGGAAUCAGGCAAUGUUACUCAUUGGAAACCAGCACUGUUCAGCAACCGGCCAAAGGUGUGGGGAAGAUGACGCCUCUCUGUCCACAGGUACAGGUACGUCAUAACAAAUUCGUGUCCCCUCGCGCUCUAAGGGAACGUAAUACAGCUGCUAAUGCUCUACAAGAGACUUCGGAGGCCUUCUCUGUCUGCAACAUCCAAAAUCAGAUGAAAAGUGUGACGGCAUACAACUUCGGUGGGCUCGAAAAGAGCUAGCCAUGGACAAGAAGCUAUCUUGCUAUGUUGGUGUUAAUGACAAAACAAAGAUUGUUGUGAGGCUAAACCUUCACAUGAGCCUUUACUGUGGUCCUGUCCAUUGUUGAUAUUCUAUAGUAGCGAAUUUUAUUUCAGUAUACAUGUUUUUGCAAAUUAUCUGCAUGCAAGGUGUUUUCCAUUUUUCAUGUGAAAGCAAGCAAGCAUCAUCCUCAGCUUUAUGUACCAAUCGACAACAUGUAUCAACAGAUUAAAGCUAUGAAUGUAUAAUCAUUUGGUGCUUCCUAGUGUACUGUUCAAGGUAUUUGUGAGUGAGAAACUCGAGCAUGAUGCAACUCUGUAUGUGCAUUAAGACUAGCUAGACACACUCAUACUC